AAAUCCCAACACCUGUCGUCAACUCCGGCGGAUAUAAAUAUAGCGGACAGGGUAGCGACGCAUUCUCAGUUACCGAGAGACACGAGCAGCAACAAUUAACCGAUACUUCUUUGCGCCGAUCUAUUAGCGACCGCGAAACGAGACAGCAAGUGUAUCGUGCGACUAGUGUACGCAUUGGGUAUAUUCUAAUAAACUACGUAGUUAGGUAUACUCCGGUGUUUGUGAAAAUUAAUUGACACCUUAUCACCUCGCUUGUUACAAAACAUCAUACGUUUCCGCUCUCGUCGAAUUAAUAAAGAUAAUCGAAAAGAAAAAGUAUUAUAAUACCUUCACCUUAUCAUUGUCCCGAGAAAACGUCACAUUUAACCAUUUAACACACGUAAGAUUUAUGAUAGUGAGAUUGGCCUCAAGGUGACACGACUGAUCGCUGAGCGUAGCCACGGUCACGGGAUGGACGUCUUGCUUUAUGGAAGUGUGGAAUAGUUGUACGACUCUACCUAAAAAAUAGUUGUGACGACAUACGGCCUCAAAAACGCAGAAACUGCUUAGUAACGGCGAUUAGAACCUUCUUGAUGCUUCUUUUUUUUUUUUUUUUUUUUUUAUUUAUUAGAAUAUUUAU